UAGAAUUUUUCCUAUUCUUUUCAGAAUAUACAGGCUAAGCUGUUAUUAUUCACUUUUCCAUUUUUAGAAUUGACGAUUAAAUUGCACAGCACUACUGUGUUGUACCAAUUAAAAUAACUACUGUCUAUUUGGCAGUCCUUUAAUGGGAAAUGAAAUUCACUUUUAGGCAUAUAUCACGGUAAUACAUAUAUCAUAUGGUAUACAAUUUAGAUCAUUUUGGAAGACAGUAGCUGUAUUAGUUCGUAUUCCCCUACCUAGUCCUGGUUACGAGCAUCAAUUUUGUUAAUUAAGAAUUUUAAACCCUGUGAAUUUAUAGUACAAUUAUGUUUUACUUCAUAAGUAGGUCUUUACCCCUCUACAACUAUUAACAAAAUGUCCACUUAUAUUAUUUGCUGACGGUUUCAAGGGCUGAUGAAUUUUGUAUGAAGAUUUGCCCUUUUUUCUAAGCUUUGCUCACUGCACAUCAGCUGUUUGUCAGCAAAACAUAACAGUGAAGACUUCUGACUUAAAUCUUUUUUUUUUUUUUUUUUUUAAAGAAAAGCCAAUUCAUCAGGUAGGAAAGACUGCUGCUCACACUCUCGAGUCCUGCCAAAGACAAAUGACUGUAAAAAUUUAAAAUCAAUCAUUAACAGAUUAGCUGUUGGUCCAAAGUAAAUAGCAAUCAGCUUAUUAGGCAUCAGGCAGAGUGAGAUAAAGGGGAAGAGUUAUUGAAAAUGAGGAUGUUUGCUGGGGCUGUGCUGAUGGAGCAGAACAAGGAAAGGCUGUUUCUUUGUUGCUCUAAUUACAAAUGGAAAAUAACCUACAGUGCUGAACAAGUUGAGCUCCCUAGCUGAAUUGAAUGGAGCAUAGUGCUUAUGUUCUACGUCAUGGAUUGAUUUAUCUUGAUUAUCAGUAGUUUGCACUACUUCUUCCCCUCCCCAGAAGGACCGGUUUGGCAUUCUCUUAUACUGAAGUAAAUGAAAUUUUUUGGCUCUGAAAAGAAUGAGGUGGGAGAGGGGCUUGCCACAGUAGAAAUGCCCUUCUCGUACAAAACUCUAAUUCUCACACAGGAAAUACUUCUCAAAUGAUGGAAUUUUGUUUGUGACAGGGUUUCAUUAUGGUAAAGCAACAAAUUGCUGGUGACUAAAUCACAGUCGGCUCUGUGCCGCCGUUGUAUUCAGACAUGAUGAAAUUCUGCAAAGCAGAUCAAUUCAGAAGAGCAGGGAUGUUGCAAGAGGAAACCGGGAGGGAGAAAAAGGCUGAGAAGACAGAAACAAUCAGAGUCGGGUAGGAAGCGAAGCUGGCGGGGAUGAAGAAGAAAACAAUAGCUGAGAGUAAAAUGAGAUGAGGAAGCAGAAAACACAAAAAAGUGAAGUAGGAAGUAGGAGGAAAUGGGUGCAAGUUAAAGUCGAUGACAAAAGCUCUCUUUCAUCAGGUAAACACUGAAGUGUUUACAUAGAGAGUAACUGACCAUGAGAAUGAUUUACUGCAGCUAUUUCUUCCUUACCAGGCACGUUAAAUCCAGGAAAAGAAGAGUCAGCUGAAAUGACAAAGUAGCAGAAGUCUCUUUUCCACAUACUGAAAUGGCUGAAUAAGCUACACAGAGCAGAAAUGACUUUCCUGCCUGCGAUUUGCAGAGUCCCAGGACAGCAGCUCACACCUGGGGGCGACAGAGCUGUGGCAGUCUGUCAUCUUUGAGCUAUUUUCUCUAUGCACCGAGAAGGAGAGCGGUGAUGCUGCCUUCUGUCUAUGACAGGAAUUGUUUGAAUUAUUUACAAUGAACGGAAAGACAGCUGGGGGGAGAGGAUGGAGAGGCUGGUGCAAUUCUAUAGACAUUGAUCCUGCCGGGAAAAAGAGCAAACUGACUUGCAAUACAAAUGGCGGUGUUGCAAAUGUGAAAGGAAGACCAUUUUCCAAUGUCACUUUCACAAGCUAAAAGAAGUCUCCAUACGUAUUAUGCAUAAGUGAAUGCACAUAGGUGUCCCAGAAGUUCAAGAUGGUUCCUUGUUUUCUUCGUUUCCUACUUAGUUCUCUUUCCAAUGGAAGCUGUGCAGUGGACUUUGAUCUUUUGCAAGAUUUCUCUUCCUGAAGAAAGGUGCCGGUUUAUUACCAAACCGCUUGUAAGAACAGAUCAAAGGCAGAGGAAGAGUGGGGGCUGCAGUCUGGCCAGCUGCUGUGAUGUUCUACAGAAAAUCAAGGACGAUAUCCACAGGACCUGCGAUGUAUCAAGCCAGCUCUUAGUAACAGAGGAAGGCCAAGAGUAGUUGACAAUAAGACUGUAAAGAAACAGUUAUGCUGGUGACACUUCUUAUAUGAGGACUGCCUUCCUAUUUUUCCACAAACGUAUUCCUGUUAUACAGUUUUUUGUUCUUUUAAUUAAGCACUGCAGGAGAAAAUAAUGGGAUCUUAAAGCCUCAUGUAUUUUGGAAAAGGUAGUAGUAAAUUGUACAGUUUUGACCUUUUCAGCUUUUUGUAAUUUGAUUGGCUGUCUGUUCUUUUUCCUCCACUAUUUACAGCUGCAGUGAACUGUGCAGAAGGGGUAGGAUGGCUAGCCAGCUCAAAUGCAGAAUAUUUAAAAGGUUAAAAUGUGCAACAUACUGGUGCCUUCCACAGAGUGUAUGGGCAUUAUAAAUUUCGUUGCGUUGAUCACAUAAAGGAUUGAGAAAUUAAAUGACUUCAUGAAUCAUUUUUUGUGGGACAACAAAUGUGACCAAAAUGGGGAAAAAUGGUAUCACUUUGACCCCAGAUCUGGGAAGCAUAUUUUUUUGUAUGUUUAUUAUUUCUGCUGCGGUAAUAAGUGAAGACCCCCUCUGAAGCACAGCAUCAUUUUAGCAGGCACUGAAUAUGUACAAGUGAGACAAAGACAAGCCCUGCCCCAGAAAGCGUGC
rnacentral:lncRNA from 1 species